rnacentral:misc_RNA from 1 species
GUUUCCGUAGGUGAACCUGCGGAAGGAUCAUUAUUGUAUAACCGAGGUGCGAGGGCUGUCGCUGACCCGAAAGGUCGUGCACGCCCGAGUGCCCUCACACACAUCCAUCUCACCCCUAUGUGCACCACCGCGUGGGUCCCCCUUUGGCUUGUUCGGAGGGGGGCUUACGUUUUCACACAAACUUUGUAUGCAGUGUAGAAUGUAUUUUUUGUUCUUGCGAUCACGCAAUCAAUACAACUUUCAACAACGGAUCUCUUGGCUCUC